rnacentral:rRNA from 1 species
GACGAACGCUGGCGGCGUGCUUAACACAUGCAAGUCGAACGGAAAGGCCCUGCUUGCAGGGUACUCGAGUGGCGAACGGGUGAGUAACACGUGGGUGAUCUGCCCUGCACUUCGGGAUAAGCCUGGGAAACUGGGUCUAAUACCGGAUAGGAGCCAUUUUUAGUGUGAUGGUUGGAAAGUUUUUUCGGUGUAGGAUGAGCUCGCGGCCUAUCAGCUUGUUGGUGGGGUAAUGGCCUACCAAGGCGGCGACGGGUAGCCGGACUGAGAGGGUGGACGGCCACAUUGGGACUGAGAUACGGCCCAGACACCGACGGGAGGCAGCAGUGGGGAAUAUUGCACAAUGGGCGCAAGCCUGAUGCAGCGACGCCGCGUGGGGGAUGACGGCCUUCGGGUUGUAAAAUCCUUUCGCUAGGGACGAAGCUUUUUGUGACGGUACCUAGAUAAGAAGCACCGGCUAACUACGUG